GCAGUAGCCACGGUAAUACAGAGGGUGCGAGCGUUAAUCGGAUUUACUGGGCGUAAAGCGUGCGUAGGCGGCUUUUUAAGUCGGAUGUGAAAUCCCUGAGCUUAACUUAGGAAUUGCAUUCGAUACUGGGAAGCUAGAGUAUGGGAGAGGAUGGUAGAAUUCCAGGUGUAGCGGUGAAAUGCGUAGAGAUCUGGAGGAAUACCGAUGGCGAAGGCAGCCAUCUGGCCUAAUACUGACGCUGAGGUACGAAAGCAUGGGGAGCAAACAGGAUUAGAGACCCCUGUAGUCCCUGUCUCUUAUAC
rnacentral:rRNA from 1 species